rnacentral:rRNA from 1 species
UUCCGGUUGAUCCUGCCGGACCUGACUGCUAUCGGAUUGAUACUAAGCCAUGCGAGUUAUUGUUUAGCAAUACAAGGCAGACGGCUCAGUAACGCGUAGUCAACCUACCCUAGGGACGGGAAUAACCUCGGGAAACUGAGUAUAAUGCCCGAUAGAACACUAUACCUGGAAUGGUUUGUGUUUCAAAUGAUUUAUUGCCGUAGGAUGGGACUGCGGCCUAUCAGUUUGUUGGUGAGGUAAUGGCCCACCAAGACUAUUACAGGUACGGGCUCUGAGAGGAGUGGCCCGGAGAUGGGUACUGAGACACGGACCCCAGGCCCUAUGGGGCGCAGCAGGCGAGAAAACUUUGCAAUGUGCGAAAGCACGACAAGGUUAAUCCGAGUGGUUUCUGCUAAAGGAACCUUUUGACAGUCCUAGAAACACUGUUGAAUAAGGGGUGGGCAAGUUCUGGUGUCAGCCGCCGCGGUAAAACCAGCACCUCAAGUGGUCAGGAUGAUUAUUGGGCCUAAAGCAUCCGUAGCCGGCUCAGUAAGUUUUCGGUUAAAUCUGUACGCUCAACGUACAGGCUGCCGGGAAUACUGCAGAGCUAGGGAGUGGGAGAGGUAGACGGUACUCGGGAGGAAGUGGUAAAAUGCUUUGAUCUUUCGAUGACCACCUGUGGCGAAGGCGGUCUACCAGAACACGUCCGACGGUGAGGGAUGAAAGCUGGGGGAGCAAACCGGAUUAGAUACCCGGGUAGUCCCAGCUGUAGACUAUGCAAACUCAGUGAUGCAUUGGCUUGUGGCUAAUGCAGUGUUGCAGGGAAGCCGUUAAGUUUGCCGCCUGGGAAGUACGUACGCAAGUAUGAAACUUAAAGGAAUUGGCGGGGAGCACCACAAGGGGUGAAGCCUGCGGUUCAAUUGGAGUCAACGCCGGGA